GAUGAACGCUGGCGGCGUGCCUAAUACAUGCAAGUCGAGCGAACAGACGAGGAGCUUGCUCCUCUGACGUUAGCGGCGGACGGGUGAGUAACACGUGGAUAACCUACCUAUAAGACUGGGAUAACUUCGGGAAACCGGAGCUAAUACCGGAUAACAUGUUGAACCGCAUGGUUCAACAGUGAAAGACGGUCUUGCUGUCACUUAUAGAUGGAUCCGCGCCGCAUUAGCUAGUUGGUAAGGUAACGGCUUACCAAGGCAACGAUGCGUAGCCGACCUGAGAGGGGGGUCGGCCCCCCUGGAACUGGGGCAGGGACCAGACGGCUACGGGGGGCAGGGGUAGGGAAUCUGACGCAAUGGGCGAGAGCCGGAGGGGGCAGCGCCGGGGUGGUGAAGAAGGUUUGAGGGUGGAAAAGUUCUUUCGCCGGGGAGGUUAAGAAGGGAACCGGAGAAAAAACCCCGGCUAAAUUCGGG
rnacentral:rRNA from 1 species